UACGGGAGGCAGCAGUGGGGAAUAUUGCACAAUGGGCGAAAGCCUGAUGCAGCUAUGCCGCGUGUAUGAAGAAGGCCUUAGGGUUGUAAAGUACUUUCAUCGGGGAGGAAAAACAAAACUAAUAAUUUUAUUUCUUGACGUUACCCGAAAAAGAAGCACCGGCUAACUCCGUGCCAGCAGCCGCGGUAAUACGGAGGGUGCUAGCGUUAAUCAGAAUUACUGGGCGUAAAGAGCACGUAGGUGGUUUUUUUAAAGUCAGAUGUGAAUCCCUGGGCUUAACCUGGAACUGCAUUUUGAAACUGAAAUACUAGAGUAUCGUAGAGGGAGGUAGAAUUCUAGGUGUAGCGGUGAAAUGCGUAGAUAUCUGGAGGAAUACCUGUGGCGAAAGCGGCCUCCUAAACGAAUACUGACACUGAGGUGCGAAAGCGUGGGGAGCGAAACAGGGAUUAGAUACC
rnacentral:rRNA from 1 species